AAUUUUUGCAGUUGUAACCCAGGUUUAUUUUGAGGCUAAAGUUACUUAUUUUCUUUGAACGUAGCAGUGUUUCGCCAAAAAUUGUUUUGUCCUAUGGUCCGUGAAUGCACCACAGCGCCACACACGGCACUUCACUGAAGCAGAGCGAGAGAAGUUGUUACACAUGCUCCCGGAGCCGAGCAGGCUAAGCGGCUCUGAUUAACGCGAUUUUGAGGAGAUGUGAAAUGAGUUGGUAGACAACUGCGGGCUUCGAGUGAACUUUUUGUUUUUUUCUUCGAAUAUCCUGGCUGGUUUUUUUGUUGGACUCUCUUCUAAGGACAGAGCUGUGCUGUGCCUGGAUCUGGUAGCAGCCUGAGAUGUCUUCACUGGACGUGUUAAACUUCCAUGGCCACCUCGUCCCAGGAGGGUGGUAGAACCUAGGAGGAUUUCCCUUGGUUUCGUGAGGAUUUACCCCCUUUUUUUUAUUUUAUUUUAUCUGAGAUCUCAGA